rnacentral:rRNA from 1 species
CCUACGGGCGGCAGCAGUGGGGAAUUUUGGACAAUGGGCGCAAGCCUGAUCCAGCCAUGCCGCGUGAGUGAAGAAGGCCUUCGGGUUGUAAAGCUCUUUCGGCCGGGAAGAAAUCGCAUGGGUUAAUACCCUGUGCGGAUGACGGUACCGGCAUAAGAAGCACCGGCUAACUACGUGCCAGCAGCCGCGGUAAUACGUAGGGUGCGAGCGUGCGUCGGACGUACUGGGCGGAAUGCGUGCGCAGGGGGUGAAAUCCCCGGGCUCAACCUGGGAACUGCGCUUAUGACUGGCAAGCUAGAGUACGGCAGAGGGGGGUGGAAUUCCACGUGUAGCAGUGAAAUGCGUAGAGAUGUGGAGGAACACCAAUGGCGAAGGCAGCCCCCUGGGUCGAUACUGACGCUCAUGCACGAAAGCGUGGGGAGCAAACAGGAUUAGAUACCCUGGUAGUC